UGUGUUAAAAAAAACGUAAGUGGAAACACUGCUUUGAAGUUUUCAAAAUUCCAGGGCCGUAAAACAAUCUCAAAAAAAAAAAAGUUUUCAAAAUGUCGUAACGAUUUAAUUUUUUAAAUCGUUUUUUUUUGGUCUUGGUAAUGUUUAUUAUUAAAAAUCAGCAUGCCUCGAAGAUCGAAAAUGAAAUGCUAUUUCGGAUGCCUUGAUAACGACAAAGGUUUGAUAAUGACAAAAUUUUAUGGAAAAAUUAUAAGGAGCACUAAAAUGUCUGAAACAUGAAAAGAUUGAUGCACUAUAUUUGAACCAGAACGUGUUAUGUAAUAUAUUAAUUUAAGAGAAACUGAUUCAGCAAGGAACGUGAACUCUCAAGGGAUCUUAUUUUUUUUUAAAUAUGUUUAUAAUUGAUAAAUUAAUAAUUGAAAUAGUUCAUAAGAACUAAAUUGAUGCCAAUUUUGUUUUAAAAUAGGUUGUUUAGUUCUUAUAGUUAUAGUAUUACGUUUGAAUAGUUGUAAUUAGUAAGUUAGUAAUAUAUGAAAAUACUGAUAUAAAUUUUUGUAAAUAACCUUUUGUAAAUUCUACGAGAAGAUGAUUUUAAUUAAUGAUCAAAAGUCAACGGUCUUUAAAAGCAUUAUUUGCAAUUAUUUAGAUUUACUGUGGAAUAUAUUUGCUAAGUUGUGUUUUCUGUAUGAGCAGAUAUAAAAGAAAAUGCCCAAACAUGAUUACGUUUCUUACAUUUUCAUUAUGUGAAAUCAAUAUGCUUGUGACUGAGUAUAUUAAUAAUUUAUUAAAACUUAAGUGAUAGACAGCAACCCCUAUGGCACUGCUGAAGUUUAUAAGCACUGGUGACCACUUAUCAUGGGCCGGAUUGCGUGCUCGUCUGCUGUUGUCUAUGGUUGACGGCAUAGAUUAUACACUUAAUAUAUUUGAGAUAGAUGCGCAACUCUCAUUUUUAUUUUUGCUUUAGUUAGAGCCCGGGACAGCAGGCGUCGCUGCUGUCGAUUAUUAGUCUCCCUACCCCCCACCAGGUGGCUUUUUUAGUAAUUUUAAUAUUUUUUAUAAUUAACUCUCUUUAUGAAAAAAUCUUAUCGUUUAGAAUCGCUGAAAUUCCCGGUAGUACUUAUGAAAUAUUAAAGAGCGUUUGAUUGUGUUCAGCAUUCUAAUCGAUAAGACCUUUUCAUACAGAGAGAAAACAGUUUUUUUAAAUAAAAAGCUGUAAUUCUCUGUAAGCUAUUUAAUUUCCCUAUAUUACAAACAAUUUACUGUUAAAAGAUAGUAUGAACGUACAAUUGUAUAAAAUUUCGAAUAACAAUAACUCCUCUAGAUUAAUCCUACUAGAGUACUUAAUAACAUUAAAUCGAAAGUUAUCUAAAAGUUAAUUAAGUCUAGAUAAUCAAAUCAUUCAAUGUCACUUAAGUCAUUUGUGCGAAAUAUAAACAUGUCAGCUUUCCAUUACAAACAUAGUAGACAAUUUGAAUUAAAUUUAAUAAAUUUGUUUCUUAACUAUA